UCCCUGGUGGCCCAGUGGUUAAGACUCUGUGCUCCCAAUGCAGGGGGCCUGGGUUCGAUCCCUGGUCAAGGAA
rnacentral:tRNA from 1 species